GAUGAAGAACGUAGCGAAAUGCGAUAAGUAAUGUGAAUUGCAGAAUUCAGUGAAUCAUCGAAUCUUUGAACGCACCUUGCACCUCUUAGUAUUCUGAGAGGUACACCUGUUUGAGUGUCAUUAAUAUUACUCCAUACAUAAUCUUCAUAGAAGAUCUUGUAUUGGGACUUGGGAGUAUGCAGCUUAAUAAAGUGCUCUCCUUAAAUAAAUUAGCAGGGAUUAUUAUCAGAGAUCCUCUGGUUGAUGUGAUAGUUAUCUCCUCUCAACCCUUCUUUGAAUACUCCUAUCUGCUUAAAGUAGUCUUUAUUGAAAAAGACAAACUACACAUUUAAGACAUGAUCUCAAAUCAGGUGGGACUACCCGCUGAACUUAAGCAUAUCAAUAAGCGGAGGA
rnacentral:misc_RNA from 1 species